rnacentral:rRNA from 1 species
CCCUUAGAUGUUCUGGGCUGCACGCGUGUUACAAUCGGGAGUACAACAAGAUUGCAAAUCCUAGUGGAUGAGUGGUUCUUCGAAAUUUUCUGAAGACUGGGAUAGUUGAUUGAAAUUAUUCAACUCGAACGAGGAAUUCCUUGUAAUUGUAAUUCAUUAUAUUGUAAUGAAUACGUCCCUGCCCUUUGUACACACCGCCCGUCGCUCCUACCGAUUGAACGAUCCGGUGAAUUAUUUGGAGUAGCUCUGGAAGUUGCAGAACUUCCUAUGUCACGAAAUUUUGUAAACCUUAUCGUUUAGAGGAAGUAAAAGUCGUAACA